rnacentral:rRNA from 1 species
UACGGAGGGUCCGAGCGUUAAUCGGAAUUACUGGGCGUAAAGCGUGCGCAGGCGGUUUGUUAAGCCAGAUGUGAAAGCCCCGGGCUCAACCUGGGAAUUGCAUUUGGAACUGGCGAACUAGAGUCUUGUAGAGGGAGGUAGAAUUUCAGGUGUAGCGGUGAAAUGCGUAGAUAUCUGAAGGAAUACCGGUGGCGAAGGCGGCCUCCUGGACAAAGACUGACGCUCAUGCACGAAAGCGUGGGGAGCAAACAGG